GAUGAACGCUGGCGGCGUGCUUAACACAUGCAAGUCGAACGGAAAGGCCCAAGCUUGCUUGGGUACUCGAGUGGCGAACGGGUGAGUAACACGUGGGUGAUCUGCCCUGCACUUCGGGAUAAGCCUGGGAAACUGGGUCUAAUACCGGAUAGGACGAUGGUUUGGAUGCCAUUGUGGAAAGUUUUUUCGGUGUGGGAUGAGCUCGCGGCCUAUCAGCUUGUUGGUGGGGUAAUGGCCUACCAAGGCGUCGACGGGUAGCCGGCCUGAGAGGGUGUACGGCCACAUUGGGACUUGGAUACGGCCCAGACUCCUACGGGAGGCAGCAGUGGGGAAUAUUGCACAAUGGGCGCAAGCCUGAUGCAGCGACGCCGCGUGGGGGAUGACGGCCUUCGGGUUGUAAACUCCUUUCGCUAGGGACGAAGCGUUUUUGUGACGGUACCUGGAGAAGAAGCACCGGCUAACUACGUG
rnacentral:rRNA from 1 species